AGAAUCAACGCUGGCGGCGUGCCUAACACAUGCAAGUCGAGCGAGCCUUCGGGCGAGCGGCGAACGGGUGAGUAACACGUGGGCAACCUGCCCCAAGCUCUGGGAUAACCCCGGGAAACCGGGGCUAAUACCGGAUAUGACCUUAGAAGACAUCUUCUUUGGUGGAAAGUUUUUCGGCUUGGGAUGGGCCCGCGGCCUAUCAGCUUGUUGGUGGGGUAACGGCCUACCAAGGCGACGACGGGUAGCCGGCCUGAGAGGGCGACCGGCCACACUGGGACUGAGACACGGCCCAGACUCCUACGGGAGGCAGCAGUGGGGAAUAUUGCGCAAUGGGCGAAAGCCUGACGCAGCGACGCCGCGUGAGGGAUGAAGGCCUUCGGGUUGUAAACCUCUUUCAGCAGGGACGAAGCGAAAGUGACGGUACUGCAGAAGAAGCACCGGCCAACUACGCGCCAGCAGCCGC
rnacentral:rRNA from 1 species